UACGUAGGUGGCAAGCGUUGUCCGGAUUUACUGGGCGUAAAGAGCGCGCAGGCGGUCGGAUCAGUCGAAUGUGAAAGCCCCCGGCUCAACUGGGGAGGGUCAUUCGAUACUGAUCGACUCGAAGGCAGGAGAGGGUAGUGGAAUUCCCGGUGUAGUGGUGAAAUGCGUAGAUAUCGGGAGGAACACCAGUGGCGAAGGCGACUACCUGGCCUGUUUCUUGACGCUGAGGCGCGAAAGCUAGGGGAGCAAACGGG
rnacentral:rRNA from 1 species